CAUCUGGGGAAUGGCUUGGCUCGAGCGCCGAGGAAGGUCGUGGCAAGCGGCGAAACGCUUGGGCGAGGUGCAGGCAACCUUUGAACCCAAGAUCGCUGAAUGGGACUUCCUGACGGGAGGAAACUCCCGUCGUCCCCGGCAGGGGACGGGAACCCCGGGAACGGAAACAUCUUAGUACCGGGUGGAAAAGAAAGCAAUCGCGAUGCCGGGAGUAACGGCGAGCGAAACCGGCAGAGGGCAAACCGAACCUGGUGACGAAAGUCACUGGGGAUGUGGAGUUGUAGGACUUCCUCCAAUCCCUCGUGCGGGAAGCCGAAGCAGCUGGAAAGCUGUGCCUUAGAGGGUGAAAGCCCCGUAGGCGUAACUGCGCAGGGUACGAGGGGAAGUAUCCUGAGUAGGAUGCCUUGGAAAUGGUGUCCGAAGCAGGGAGGCAUCAACUCCCAACCCUAAAUACGUCUCGAGACCGAUAGCGCACGCAGUACCGCGAGGGAAAGCUGAAAAGCACCCCGGAAGGGGGGUGAAAAGAGCCUGAAACCAGAUGGCGAUUGUUGGGCACGGCUCGAAAGAGCUGAUCCUCCUCGAAGGAAGCCGUCGCGAGGCGGUUGUACGAGAGGAGGGGAUCAGGGUCGUGUCGUCCGUCUAGAAUCACGGGCCAGGGAGUUUCGUGCCGUGGCGAGGCUAAGUGGUUUAUCCACGGAGCCAGAGCGAAAGCAAAAAGUCCGCAACCCGAAAGGGCGAGGGACUGGGUGCGAAUAGCGCCCGGAGUCACGGCGCGAAGACCCGAAACCGGGCGAUCUAGUCCGGGGUAGGCUGAAGCCCCUCUAUGAGGGGUGGAGGGCCGAACCGGUCUUGAUGUGCAAUUCGGUCGGAUGACCCUGGGCUAGUGGCGAAAGACCAAUCAAGCCCGGUGACAGCUGGUUCCUCUCGAAGCUGGCCGCAGUCAGGCCCAGCGCGAGGCUGCCAGUGGUGUAGAGCACCGAUUGAUGAAUGCGGGGGGAGACCCUCGGUUCGUCUGUCGAACUCCAAAGCCAUUGGCGCCGUAGACCGCUGGAGACGGGAUGGUGCGGGUAAGCUGCAUCUCCGAGAGGGGAACAACCCAGACUGGGGUUAAGGCCCCAAAAUGCCGGCUAAGUGUUAACCCUAAAGGGCGUUCUCGUCCUCAGACAGCGGGAAGGUAGGCUCAGAAGCAGCCAUCCUUUAAACAACGCGUAAAAGCGGACCCGUCGAGGACGGGGGCCCCGAAGAUACACGGGGCUAAGCCGGCUGCCGAGACCUCAGGGCAGCCGAAGUCGAGUAGGCUGAUCCGGUAGAGAGGCGUCCGGCGUGGACGGAAGCUCGGCCGUGAGGUCGAGUGGACCGCGCUGGAAUGAGGAUCCUGGCGGUAGUAACAGCAUAGCUGGGUGAGAAUCCCAGCCGCCGAAGGGGCUCGGGUUCCUCGACAAUGAUCGUCAGUCGAGGGUUAGUCGGUCCUAAGGUGGCCCUCAACCAGAAGCCAUCGAAAGGGAAUCCGGUUAAUAUUCCGGAACCACCCAGGUACCUGCGGCAACGCAAGCCUGGCUUCCGACGCUUCGAGGUAGGCCGAGUGAGGUCGUCGCCUCAUUUAACCGCCGAAACCCGGGGAGUUCCGUAAUGGAGAGAACCGGGUGAAUGCGGGAAUAGCCUGCCGUAAGGUGGGUUCGGCUGAUCCUUGGAGCCCGUGAAAAGGGAGCCGGGAAAUGGGACCCUGGGUGACCGUACCUAGAUCCGACACAGGUGCCCCUAGGUGAGAAGCCUAAGGCGUAUCGGGAGACACCAGGCUAGGGAAUUCGGCAAGUUGGCCCUGUAGCUUCGGUAGAAGGGGUGCCUGCCCCGCAAAGGGCAGGUCGCAGUGACCAGGGGGCUACGACUGUUUAAUAAAAACGUAGCUCACUGCGAAGGCGAAAGCCCUUGUACAGUGAGUGAAUUCUGCCCAGUGGCGGUACGUGAAUGCUCGUUCCAACGGGCAGAAGCGCCGCUAAACGGCGGGGGUAACUAUAACCCUCGAGCAAGGGGGUUGCAAAACUUGGCUGUAUGCUGGGAAGCGAGAACCCCUAGGUCCUGAGCAAGGAAAAAUCCUAGGGGUGGUGAAGCGAUCAGCAGGGAACGGCUCCAUUUAAAUAGCAACGUGGUUCAGGGAAAGAAGGGGAGAAAAAUAAAAUUCGCCAAGGAAAAAUAUCGGAGGCACUAUAUCCAAGGUUUCGUCGACGCGGAGGGAUGUUUUUCAGUGUCGCUGAAGAAAGUCCCUACAGCGAGAUUCGGAUGGACCAUAGAUCCGGUUUUUCAUGUCACACAACAUAAAAAAAAUCGUGCAGUACUGGAGAUGAUAAGGGACGUGCUUGGAUGCGGACGAAUAGCGGAAAAACAUGGCCAGAGGGAUUGUCUCAUUUACGUGGUCGACAACAGGAGACAACUUCUGGAGAAGGUUGUCAGAUUUUUCGAGAGAUAUCCGUUGCUUGCAAAAGCUAGGGAUUUCGAGAAAUUCAAGAAGAUCGUGGUGGGUCUUGAACAAAAAGAGCAUUGGACUAGGGAAGGGUUUAAAAACUUGGCGAGGCUUGCGUUUGAAAUGAAUUCAUUGGGGAAGCAGAGGAGAUACAAAAUGGAAAGGAUAUUCAGAGAUGUUGUGGAGGGAGCCGACUCCUCAGAGACUACAAGCCAAGCAUCCGCAAGCUGGAUGAGUAAUCCAUAGCGGAUGAUGAUAUAGUCCAGCACGGAAACGUGUUGCUUAAGGUAGCGUAAUACCUUGCCGCUUAAUUGGCGGCUUGCAUGAAGGAAUCAACGAUAGCCCCACUGUCCCAGCCUGGAACCCGGUGAACCCACUGGCCUGCGAACAUGCAGGGGAUCCCCGAAGGGAAACGAAGACCCCGUGGACCUUUACUGCAGCCUGUCGUUGGGACGCGGUUGUGGGUGCAGAGCGUAGGCGGGAGCCUUCGAAGCCGAGUCUUCGGGCUCGGUGGAGGCGCCAAUGUAACACCGCCCUCCUGCGACUACGUUUCUAACCCCGAGAGGGAGACAGCGGCAGGUGGGCAGUUUCGCUGGGGCGGCAGCCUCUCGAAAAGAUAUCGAGAGGGCCCAAAGGUCGGCUCAGGCGGGUCGGAAAUCCGCCGUGGAGGGCAAGGCCAAAAGCCGGCCUGACUGUGAGCUCACUACCAAGGCUCGCAGAGGCGAAAGCCGGGCCUAGCGAACCUCGAUGUCCCUCUUGGUGAGGGCUCGGGAUGACAGAAAAGGUACCCCGGGGAUAACAGAGUUGUCGCGGGCGAGAGCCCCUAUCGACCCCGCGGUUUGCUACCUCGAUGUCGUUUCUUCCCAUCCUGGCCGUGCAGCAGCGGCCAAGGGUAGGGUUGUUCGCCCAUUAAUGGGGAACGUGAGAUGGGUUUAGACCGUCGUGAGACAGGUCGGAUGCUAUCUUUCGGGGAUGUCGGGCGCCUGAGGGAAAGGUGUCCCCAGUACGAGAGGAACAGGAUGCCGGCGCCUCUGGUUUACCGGUUGUCCGACAGGGCAGAGCCGGGUAGCUACGCGCCAGUCGAUAAGGCCUGAAAGCAUCUAAGGCCGAAGCGACUCCCGAAAAUAGGCGCCCU
rnacentral:rRNA from 1 species